UUCUCUAGAGAGAAGCGCUAAGGUGGGC
rnacentral:piRNA from 1 species